AGUUUCUAGCAGGCAUCACAGAAAAACUGGGUCUGGAGGAAGAAUAUGAAAAGGCAUAGAAUAGUGCCUUACAGAUCAGUUUCAGGAGGGCAUUCCAUGUACAUGGGGAGUAAAAAUGAAGAAGGCGUGGGACGUUUGUGUGAUGCUGAUAAAUGCGAGGACGAGGCUGGCACCAAUGGCAGAGACUUGAGCAGCAGCUUUUAACUGCAACCCCACAGGAUGCACCAGCAGUAGGAAAAGAGCAUUGAAGCAAGAUAGGUGAAUAGCCUGUGACCUCUCCGGACUCAGGAUGGAGUUUGCAGGAGCCAUCUUGAGAUGAAAGAGAGCAGUUCCAUAGGAGCCACACCAAACUCUGGCUGCAACAAACCCCUGACCUGGGGGAAACUAGCCCUGCUAUUAGGAAGAGAGCAGCAGUCACACUGGUCCCAGCCUGAGAGAAACGUGUCAGGUAGCAAAUGCAGACCUGCGAGAUGACCUUUCACCAUCAUUUCUAUCGCUAAUGCUAAGAGGAGCUGACCAGGAUAUCUGCACCUGUCUAGUUUCAGAGAAGAAAAGCUGCAGCCAUCCUCCAGCACAGAGCAGCAACACAUGCCUGUUCCUGAAGGCUCCAUCAGCCAAAUUACUGUGUUCCAGAAGGGCCAGUGUCCUGGUAGGUGACCAGACUCAUUGACUCAUCCACCUGACGUGGAGGCCUAAUCUGGAUAAGUGUAAGCAGUCCCAGAGGCACACCUCUGCAACUCCUUUCUGAGCUAGAACAGGGUAUUAGAUAGACUCUUGGACAACAUGUAUGCAGACUGUGGACUUGAGACUCCACUGUCUCUUUUAUCUUGUGUUGUCACCAUCUCUUUUACAGCACCCAGAGACCCCAACUGAGACUGGACAGCAAGUCAGCAGCAGAACCAGCAACAGAAGUCAGAAUUCCUGACUUCCAGUGACAGUACCCUCUCCACUGCUUCACAGAUGAUGCUCCCUUUCUUGAUUAGCCCUGGAUUACAACAUUAUACAAAAUUAUAACAUAAAACAAAAAGGAGAAGGGGUCUUACUGCCUGGUUUUUGGUUUUUGCCCCUCUCUAAUCUCUCAGUAUUUCUAAUGCAACGAUCGCCUUAGCAUUUUUAACAGUUGUAAAGUACCAUGUUCACUUGCUUCAUUUGUUAAUUGGCUCAUUAUUGUCUUAACAAUAGGUGCAAAAAAGGCUAAAAUGCUUUAAAAGUACCCAGAUGCUAUGGUGAUAGGCACUUUCAAAAUGCUGAUUAGAUAUUGCACAUAAUAAUAACAUCGCGCAGGGUGCAAAGGAGCUAUAGAUAGGGUACAAUGUCUUUGCUCCCAUCUCCUUUCUAAUGUAUAUCAUAAAACAAACACAUUAUAUACCCCCUACCAUUAAUUAAAAUAGGGCAUGGUUUUGUUUAAGGGAGGUUUUUCCACUGACUUCAUUGGAAGUCCUAAAAUGAGUCCCUAAAUAGACAAAGAUGAGUAAAUGUAUGGGCUCAGUUCUGCGGGGUGGCCUGAUCCUGCAAAGCAUUUAAGCACACGCUUAUCUUCCUUAAUCACAUGGACAGUCACAAUGAAGUUAACCUAACCACCAUGGGACUAUUACCUGCUUAAAGUUAAGUAGUAUAGUUGUAGUUCUGUGGGUC